CUCGACGAUUUGAAACGUUUGUGUAACACAUUGGAUGUUGGACAAGAAAUCAUUGAUUGGAAACGAAAUGAGUGCGAGUCCACCAUUCGUUUCAUCAAUGACACCAUUGUAGCGGUUGAAGGCUCAUGUCAGUUAGAAAUGAAAUUGGAAAAAUUAACGUGUAAGCUGAGACAGCAACAUUUCCAAGCAGGACGAAACUAUUUUGGCCGAUAUUCAAAUUCUAUUAGACAAGAUAUUUGCGUAUUGAUUUGCAGGUUUUAUUCAUUUUAUUUUAUAUUCAUCAUUCCAGGCACAUAAAUGUAAAAAAGCGCCAGUUCUGAUGAAGAUGAUCGAGACUUUAGUCAAUCUCUCAACUGGAUACUACUACAUUAGUGCACCAAAUGAAAAGGAAAAUUGGUUCAUGGCCGACAAAUAUUGCAAAUCAAAUGGAAUGGAGCUGGCAAGCAUUGAGAAAGCAGACGAAAAUCGAGCUCUUAUCACAGCUUUAGGUGAUGGAAAUGAUCGAUUUUGGCUUUCUGGCACAGAUUUAGGCUCCGAGGGCAAUUUUUAUUGGUCCAGUAAUGCGAAGCUGCUGAAAACUUUUAGUGAUUUUGAAACAGCCCAACCAGAUAAUUUGGAUGGAAAAGAGCAUUGCAUUCAGUUCAGAAGAAGUCGAGAUGAGAGAAAACUGAAAUACAAGUGGAAUGAUGACAUUUGCAAAAACAGAAAUCGAUUCAUCUGUGAGCUGGAAUCUAACAAAUUAUUUAAAUCGAUUUAAACAAAGUAAUAAAAAAACUAAAUUUAUUGCA